GAGGAUAUAGCUCAAGUGGUAGAGCGCAUGCCUAGCAUGCACAAGGUCCUGGGUUCAAUCCCCAGUACCUCCU
rnacentral:tRNA from 1 species